GGCUCUUCCCACAAGGCCGCGCAGAGCGCGGGGCGGCCCUGCAGGCCGCGGCGGCGGCCGCUGCGCGCAGCAGCCGCGGACGGGGCGAGGCCAUUUAUUCCCGUUGUUCGUUAACAAGGGGCUGUAAGAUCCACUGAAGCCAAUAAAACUACCAGAGGCAGCUACAGUCAGCAUCAGCAGUCCAGUAGAAGAUCAGAACCAGCAGUGAUUGCUUCAGGAGUUUUGGCUCAGCAUUAUUAGCUUCAUUAAAAUGUCUACGGAUUAUGCUCUUUCUGAGUGUAUAAGGGAAACUAAACAGCUGAUGUAAACACAACUGUUCCAGAUAUUACACUUAACACAUUCUUAUUGCUUUAUGUGUACAGUCAAUUCCACAAAACUAUGACAGGAUUAAGGCUGUUGUAAUCCUAUUGCAUUCCAGUCCCUAUCUCCUUCAUGCACCACAGCAUAAAUCUAGAAUGGUUCUGAUGUCAUGUACCUAAUUUCAGCAGUUUACAGAUGGUAUAAAUAAAAGCUUUACUUAAUAAA